GACGUAGGGCGCGAGCGUUGUCCGGAUUUAUUGGGCGUAAAGAGCUCGUAGGCGGCUUGUCGCGUCGUCCGUGAAAACCUGCGGCUCAACUGCAGGCUGGCGGUCGAUACGGGCAGGCUGGAGUUCGGUAGGGGAGACUGGAAUUCCUGGUGUAGCGGUGAAAUGCGCAGAUAUCGGGAGGAACACCAGUGGCGAAGGCGGCUCACUGGACAGGUCCUGACACUGAGACGCGAAAGCGUGGGUAGCAAACAGG
rnacentral:rRNA from 1 species